rnacentral:lncRNA from 1 species
GCGAGCCUGGGCUACAUAAGAGGCAGAUGAGUGACCAGGGCUGGAAGAUGGUUUUGUUCUACCAGGCCAUCACUAACCCUGCUGGCGGGCAGCUCUGCCAUCCCCAACACUCGACUCCCAACUCCACCCAUGGACGGCUGUUUCAGCUGCUGUCAGAGGGAAGGAAGAAGAGGCUCUGGGGAUCGGCAACUUCCUUGGUCUCACCACUUAAAGGUUCCACCACCUCAAGAAUCCCAACACAUGAAUCACAGCAUGAUCCUCAUUGGGCAACAAUGGCCCAGUGCCCAUGAGUGGACAUGUGGAUGAUGAUGGUGAGUUUACAAUGGCAAAAGAAAGGAUGAACUGGAUCCUGGGAUGGAAUUCACCAUUUGAACAAAAUAAGGAUAACAACCAUCCAAUGGGUAGAGAAC